GUGUGCGUAAUUUAAAUAAAAUAUCAAGUUGUGACCCUGACAAUAGGAAA
rnacentral:tRNA from 1 species